rnacentral:lncRNA from 9 species
UUUUUUUUUUUUUUUUUUUUUUUUUGUCUUUUUUCCUUUUCUUGGGCCGCUCCCUCGUCAUAUGGAGGUUCCCAGGCUAGGGGUCUAAUCGGAGCUGCUGCUGCUACUGGCCUACACUACAGCAACAGCAACUUGGAAUCCGAGCCAUGUCUGCAACCUACACCACAGCUCACGGCAACGCCAGAUCCUUAACCCACUGAGCAAGGCCAGGGAUCGAACCUGCAACCUCAUGGUUCCUAGUCAGAUUUGUUAACCACUGCGCCACGAUGGGAAGUCCAUUUUCCUCUUGAUGGUUGAUAACAAGCAUGGUGGUUAAGCACCCGGGGUCCGAAGCCUAACAUAUUUGGGUUGGACGAGCUGCCGUGGAGUAGCUACGGAAUUUGGGCAUUACCGCCUGAGCCUCAGUUGUUUUGUCUGUGAAAUGGAGCAACAGCAACCAUUUAUAUUGUACUCGCUAUGUGGCAGCUGCUGUCUCAGUACUUUAGGACCAUUAACACAUUUAAUCUUCACAACAACCCCAUGAGGUAGGUGCUACCUUAAUUCCCACUUGGCAGAUGCAGAGACCGGAGCCCAGAGAGGUUCAGCCAGUUGCUCGAGGUUACACAGCUGUUAAGGGUUAGAGCCAGGGUUUGAAUCUCAGCAGCCUGGUGCUCUUGAUGGCUUCCCUCUGCUGCCUCGCAGUCGGAUUCUGAUGAUUGUGAGGAUCAAGUGGGAUAAGCACUCGAGCACGAUUAGCCGUCAUCGUUAAUUGUAACAAAGCUGACAUUGCCUUAACAACAGCAACAAGAAAAUCUACGUGAUCAGCAUCUUCUUUGCCUGUUGAUGAGCUUCUAGAAGCCGGAUCAUGAAGCGAAAGACACUUCGGCAAUGACAGAAGUCAUGCAGAGAGAAUUCAGGAGCCUUUAUCAAACGUCCCUGUAUGUGGACAGUGUGGGCACAGCCAGGGCUGUGGGCUCAGGCUCCUUUUCCAGCCGAUGGGGCUGGGUGACUCUCUCCACUGCUCGUGGCUCCGGGGGGCGGACAGCAGGUCUGGAAUAUUUCCUCUCAACUGUCAUCCGGACGAUUGAGUGGAUCACAUACGCCCAGGGCAUGAUCGCUGCUGCAGCACUGACCUCUGCUGCAGAGGUCAUGGCCGGCGUUCCCCUCUUUGAGAAAAUCCUGCAGCCACUGUAAAUUAUUCUUUGACCAGCUUCCUCCCACUUUGUUGAGUUCAGAGCCUUGUUGUUACGUGCAGGCUUAUUUCCAGAUCAUGUUGCUGUGGAGUUUAAAUAGGACCUGGUGUUGUGUCUGUUCUUUUGUUUCCUUGUAUUUAAAACAUUUUUUUAUCUUAUUUUUUUAUUUUUUUGUCUUUUUAGGGCCACACCCACAGCAGAUGGAAGUUCCCAGAGCUAGGGGUCGAAUCAGAGCUGUAGCUGCCGGCCUACACCACAGCCACAGCAACAUUGGAUCCGAGCUGCGUCUGCAGCCUACACCGCAGCUCAGGCAACACCGGAUCGUUAACCCACUGAGCAAGGCCAGGGAUCGAACCCGCAACCUCAUGGUUCCUAGUCGGAUUCGUUAACCACUGAGCCAUGCCGGCAACUCCCAAAAUGGGUAUUUUCAAAGGCAGUAUCUGAACACCAGGCUCACAGCUCUGGAAAAAUGCUCCUUGUUCUGAGGGUUUGGGAAGCAUGAGUCUAUUUUGAGACGCCUCUGCUGUGAGUCCGUACUAUCCGCCUGGCUCCUGAAGGCAGCGUGGGUGGGGGUGCUGUCUCCUUGCUCUGAGCCCUGUGUCCCCUCAGCUGGGCGCAUUGUGGGCCGGUUCUGACUCUGGCGAGAUGCUUUGGGGGUGUGGGGAGUGGAGAGCAGCUGGGACAGGGUUCUCCACUGCACGUUGGUUGGGGUGAUUGUGCCUGCUUCCCCUGGACCAGCUGUGGCCUCUGCGGGGAGGGAGAACCGGCCUGAAACUUGACCCCUGCCCAAGAGGUACAACCAGCAGAGUGAGUGAGCUUGGGGAGUGAGUUUUAGGGGCUGGGCAUCCCCCAAACCAGCAGGGUUUGAGAGGAGUCCUUGGAGAACCCGGAAAAUUACCCACGAGAGACAGAGUCAGAUCUGAGUGCCUGCUGCUCUGGAGAGUCCUGGUGGGGAGUAAGUUUGCCUGCCUGUAAGUAAGGGAAUGGUGGUAACACACAGUAGAAGCUGAUUUCUCUCUUAGAAGAGAAUCAGUUGGGAAGAAGGUAAUUCACGGAUGGGCUGGGAGCUCCACACAGAUGUGGGGAUCCUGCUUCCCAUGACUGUGUCCUCGUACUCAUGGUCAGAGGGGCUGCUGCAGCCCCAGCCAUCACAUCCUGGUUCAGGAAGACAGGGGAAGGGAAGGGCAGAGGCAGGUGUGCCCCCUCCCUUUUAAGAAUACUUUCAAGAUACAUCACCCGACAUUUCCACUUAUGUCUCAUUAGCCAGAGUUGAGUCACAGGGUCACACCCAGCUCCAGGCUCAGAGAUAUAAGCUUGUUGCUGGGAAGCCAUGGGCACAGUGUAAAAAAUGGGAUUCUUCUUAAAAAAUUGAAGUAUUGCUGAUUUACAACGUUGUGUUCAUUUCCUCUGUGCAGCAAAGUAAUCCAGUCAUACAUAUAUAUACACUGUUUUAAAAAUAUCCCUUUUCAUUAUGGUUUAUCAUAGGACAUCAAAUAUAGUUCCCUGUGCUAUACAGUAGGACCUUGUUUAUCCCCCCAGGGGAUACAUCUGCUAACCCCAGCCUCCCAGUCCAGCCCUCCCCUAAACCCCUCUCCCUUGGCAACCACAAGUCUGUUUCUGCAUGUCUGUGAGUCUAUUUCUGUUUCAUAGAUCGUUUCAUUUGAUUGUAUUUUAGAUUCCACAUGUAAGUGAUCUUGUAUGAGAUUUGUCUUUCUCUUUCUGACUUGCUUCACUUUGUAUGAGAAUCUCUAGGUCCAUCCAUGUUGCUGCAAAUGCCAUUAUUUCAUUCUUUUUUAUGACUGCGUAGUAUUCCAUUGGGUAUAUGUACUACAUCUUCUUAAUCCAUUCCUUUGUUGAUGGACAUUUAGGUUGUUUCCAUGCCUUGGCUACUGUGAAUAGUGCUGCUAUGAACACAGGGGCACAUGUAUCUUUUUCAGUGAAAGUUUUGUCCAGGUAGAUGCCCAGGAGUGGGAUUGCUGGAUCAUAUGGUAGUUCUAUUUUUAGUUUUCUGAGGAACCUCCAUACUUGUUUUCCAUAGCGGCUGUACUAACUUACAUUCAAAAUUGGGAUUCUUUUUUGUCAAGAGGAAGGGACUAAUGGGUACUGGGAGGCAGCCAGCAGCCUGUGGCACUUCUUUUUCGUGGCACUAGCAGCAAGUGGCUUUUCUCCAAAAGAGAGGAGGGUAACCGUGGCUAGCAAGUGGGGGUGGGGUCGGGUGGAAAGCAGAGGCCAACGCCUCUUACUUUUUUGGGCCUUACUUAAAAGAUCAGUGAUGGACUGACUGACAUUUUAUUUUCUAACUCAAAAUUGUAUUUUGUGAUUUAAAGUAUCUUUAGGACUUUCUCUUACCCACAAGUGGCCAGAGAAUUAUGGGACCUACCAGAGUUUCCCUAGGGAACAGGGAGGAAAGCAUUCCACCUGAAUAUUUUAUAUAUUUCACCUGAAUAACAUCUUUGUUAUAUGUAACCACCAUGCCUUUUCAUACCUAAAAAAAUUAGUUAAUAAUCAUCCUUUAAAAAUCACCUAAUACCCAGGCCAUGUUUAAAUUUUCCUAUUUUGUAACUAAGCAGGGUGUUGGGUAUUAACUGGCCUCACUGUGGCGUUUUUGCAGUUUAUACAAAUAUUGGAUCUUUAUGUUGUACAUCUGACAGGAAUUAUGUUAGUGAUGCCUCAGUUAAAAAAAAGAACGCAAAUGAGAUCCUGCUGGAUCGCACAGGGAACUAUAAUAUAUCCAAUCACUUAGGGUAGAACACGAUGGAAGAUAACAUGAG